rnacentral:lncRNA from 1 species
AGCUGGGGUGGAGAACAACUGGCCAAAGUCCAUUACAUUCCAUCUAAUGAUAGGUCUGUUGGCAGGUGGGGGGAGGCUAUCAGCAACUCACCUUGUCCAGUACCCUCCUGUUAUAAUACAAAGCUCCAGCUCAAACUGAAAACUUAAAGUACAAUCAGCCAGAUCCACCUUCUAAUGACUAUGAUGUUUAAAGCAUCCACAAAAGUGAAAUUCAAAUUAUUGAUAUGUUUUAGUAGCACCAUCCGUAAUUUCACCUAAACAUAAAGAAGAAGCAAAACAGGAGCAGGAAAGUCAGUCUAUGAUAAAAGCUCCCAUUUAUCACAGGCCUCCUAUGAGUUAAGUACUGUUUAUUUGCUAUUUCUAACGCAUAUUGCAACUUACAAGGCAGUCCUGUUCUCCUUCACAAAUGAAGCAUCCACAGCACAAUUGGUGACUUCACAAAGGUCCCAUGGCUCCUAGGUGGGAAGCCGCCAGAAGGCAGAUCUGAUUCUAAAGCUGCUGUCUGCAUGCCAGGCUAGUACAGCUCUCAAUCUGGGAUCAGGAAAGAGAGGUACCACAUGUGGUCAAGGAGCUCCCACAUCCCCAGGAGUCCAAGGGUUGCCAUUCUUCCUCCUUCUGUCUCUGUGAUGUCACCACUACAAUGUUGUCAUAUUGUGAACUGUUCUGGGAUGUUAGCAGAGCUCAAAUCCUUAUGAACCCAAACUCCCAAGCCACUGGAUCCGGUGAGAUGGCUGGAACUCAGCAGGGUCAGCAUGAGGAACACCGCGAGGACUGCUGAAACACCACAUUCCCAUGGCUGCCGCAGGACAGCGGGGUGGCUGGAAGGCACAGUGUCUGUGAAACUGUGGUCCUCGGCAAGGGGUGUGACCUCAUGGUGGGUCGCCUGACCUAUGAGCAGAGAUGGAAGGAAGAAUGCCAAUUUGGAGGCAGAUGUGGGAAGUAGGAGUGCUGUGGCAACACGGUGUGGAAAUAGGGAGUUCUCUUCAGGCGUGAUGCUCACAGUUUACAUAAAUCUAUUGAUCUAUGUAUUUACCUGCCUACCUCUAUGUGUGCGUUUGUCUGGGUGUGGGGUGGAGCAGUGUGAGGUGGGUUCAGGAACCGUGUUUGUGAGGGCUGUCUGGGGAGACAGAACCAAUAGGAGCUAUAUCUGUACUGAUAUUGGUAUCUCUACUGAUAUAGAUAGAUGAGAGGGGAUGUAUUAGGGGAAUUGGCUCACACGACCUUGGUGACUGAGAAGUCCCACCACAGUCCAUCUGCAAGCUGGAGACCCUGGGACGCAGGUAGUGUGGCUUCACAGCAAGUUCAAAGACCUCAGAAUCAAGGGAGCGUAUCUGCCCUAAGGAUGAGAUCGGGAAAAAGCCUGCAAGCAUGUGUUUGAAAGGAGGUGAGAGAGGAAGAUCAAGAAGGGUUUUCCCAAGUUACGGUUGCAACGCAAGAAAGGGAAAGGUGAGAAGAGGGACCCGAGCCCAGGCCUUGGGAGGAAGAGGAGGAAGAAGAGGGGUGUGGGCCCGACCCCGAGAGCAGACCAGGGCUGCGGUCAGAGCUGGUCGCCAGAUGAGGACGCCUGGGCAGCUGGCCUGUGCCUGAGCAGAGGUGGCUGAGGUCCAGGAGGCAGAGAAGAAGAAAUGGAGCCUCGCACCGCUGCUCCUAGCUUGCCCAGAGGGAGAAGGGUGAUGGGGCUGUUCCUAUGCACUCAGGACCGUGGCUCUUGAACUUUAUGUGUCGGGAAGGAGGCAAGGGCUGAACUGGAGAGUGGGCCAUUCAUUUAGUUCCAGCGUCCCAGGAAAUGCUCUUUUCCCCGCGGGAGCCUCUGCCUGCAGCUGUAAUGACCUUGGACUAGAAGGUCAAACUCCAAAGGCUUGAAACCGCACCUGCAGCAGGACUGGCCACCUACGUUGUGGGGUAUCUUUAAAAUAAAAUGCUGCACUGUCCUGCAACUGUCAGUCUGAAGCAGAAGUCCUGAGUGCCCAGGGGCAACUGGUGUAAGUCCUGGAGUUUGAAGGUCAUAGAGCCUGGAGUCCAACCGCAGGAGGAGAAGAGUGUCCCUGCUCCAGGAGAGAGAGAGAGAAAAAAAAAAAUCUCUUUUUGUGUAUGUGCUGUUGUUGCCUUUUUUGUUC